ensembl:misc_RNA Y_RNA Y RNA
GGCUGGUGUGCGUGCAGCGGUGUUUACAACUAAUUGAUCACAAGCAGUUAUAGAUUUCUUUGUUCCUUUUCCACUCCCACUGCUUUACUUAGCUAGCCUAAA